rnacentral:lncRNA from 1 species
UGCAAAAUCCUGGAAGUUGGAAAACCUUCAGUUCGCGCCGCAAACUGAGCGGAACAGACCCCUUUUAUUUUCUGUUUUUUUUACUUUUGUUGCCUUUAUAUCUUUUAUAACUUCAUCCCUCUCUCUUCACCACUUUCACAACACACUCUCUCACUCCCAAACUCAAACCUAACAAUCUUAACCCUCUCAAUCUCAAUAAUCCCACUUUUUGCAAGAAUCAUUUCAAUCUCUUUCUCUCAUCAAGGUAUGUUUAC